UAGUUGGUGGAGUGAUUUGUCUGGUUAAUUCCGUUAACGAACGAGACCUUAGCCUGCUAACUAGUCGCGGCCAUCUUGAUGGUCGCCGGCUUCUUAGAGGGACUUUGUGGCUAUAAACACAAGGAAGUUUGAGGCAAUAACAGGU
rnacentral:rRNA from 1 species